AUAAGACUGUCUCUUAGACUUUUUACCUUGGACAAGUACUCAUUGACUGUAAGAUUUGCUUUCUUGAGUGAGUAUAGAGCAUGGCACAUACUCGAAAUCUUGAUAUUAGUUUUGGCACCAAAUCUUCUUUUAAUGGUCGUCUAGAUCUCAAAACUAGUCUUGGCUAUUGUGAGAUGAACCAAGAUGUCAUUUGUGACUGUAGAGAGUAGCCAAGAUGUCAAAAACUUGUCUUGUUUCUUAUGAACAAGAAAUGUAGGAUUAGCAACUAACUG
rnacentral:lncRNA from 1 species